rnacentral:rRNA from 1 species
GGGUUAGUAGGUUGGUCAUGCCUCCGGUAUGUACUGGUCUCACUGAUUCCUCCUUCCUGACGAACCGUAAUGCCAUUAAUUUGGUGUUGCGGGGAAUUUGGACUGUUACUUUGAAAAAAUUAGAGUGUUCAAAACAGGCUUAUGCCUGAAUAGAUUAGCAUGGAAUAACGGAAUAGGACUUUGUUUCUAUUUUGUUGGUUUCUAGGAUCGACGUAAUGAUUAAUAGGGAUAGUUG